UACAUGGGGUGCAAACGUUGCUCGGAAUUAUUGGGCGUAAAGCGCACGUAGGCGGUUUGUUAAGUCGGAUGUGAAAUCCCUCGGCUCAACUGAGGAAGUGCAUCCGAAACUGGCAGGCUUGAGUACUAAAGAGGGUCGCGGAAUUCCCGGUGUAGAGGUGAAAUUCGUAGAUAUUGGGAAGAACACCGGUGGCGAAGGCGGCGAGCUGGUCCAUUACUGACGCUGAGGCGCGACAGCGUGGGGAGCAAACAGG
rnacentral:rRNA from 1 species